GGAAUAUUGGGCAAUGGAGGAAACUCUGACCCAGCAACGCCGCGUGAAUGAUGAAGGUCUUCGGAUUGUAAAGUUCUUUUCUAAGGGAAGAAGAAAGUGACGGUACCUUAGGAAUAAGCCUCGGCUAACUACGUGCCAGCAGCCGCGGUAAUACGUAGGAGGCGAGCGUUAUCCGGAAUGACUGGGCGUAAAGGGUGCGUAGGCGGAUUCUUAAGUCAGCGGUAAAAUGUCCGGGCUCAACCCGGGCCGGCCGUUGAAACUGGGGGUCUUGAGUGGGCGAGAAGUAUGCGGAAUGCGUGGUGUAGCGGUGAAAUGCAUAGAUAUCACGCAGAACUCCGAUUGCGAAGGCAGCAUACCGGCGCCCUACUGACGCUGAGGCACGAAAGCGUGGGGAUCGAACAG
rnacentral:rRNA from 1 species